rnacentral:tRNA from 1 species
GCCGGGGUGGUGGAACGGCAGACACGGAGCACUCAAAAUGCUCUGCCCGCAAGGGCGUGCGGGUUCAAGUCCCGCUCCCGGCA